CCUUGUACACACCGCCCGUCACACCAUGGGAGCGGGUUUCACCAGAAGCCGGUCGCCGAACCCGCAAGGGAAGGCGCCGACCACGGUGAGAUUCGCGACUGGGGUGAAGUCGUAACAAGGUACCC
rnacentral:rRNA from 1 species